UCUUGCUCUCUCUCUCUUGCUCUCUCGCUCUCUCUCUCUCCCUUGCUCUUUCACUCUCUGUCUCUCUCGCUCUCUUUUUCUCUUUACUUCUUGCACGCACACACAAGCUCACCAAGGCACACAGAACGCAACAAAUAUGUCAGAUUCUGAGAAUUUAGCUGCUGUUCAAGCUGAGACUCCUGUACCUGCUCCCUGUCAAGCCAUCAAAGCGGACCUAGAUAAAUGUGUGAAAGAGAAGGGAGAGGAAGGAUGCAAAGAGCUCAUGGAAGCUUUCCAGGCUUGUUUGAAGACUGCAGCUGAAAAGUCAUGAGGAGGACGGCCCAACACCUGAAAAAUGUCCAUUGCACUGAGUCCUCUGCUUUCCCAGCAUUCCCUUCUGCACAUUACGUUGGACUAAAUCAUCUUUGGGAUUGGGAGAUGGGACAAAGGGUAACCGUAGGAGCUACAUAAAUAGCCCCAGAAUCCUGAAAUUCAGUCUUCCUUUCUUUUUGUAGCUGAUUACUCUGGUUGUUAUGCCCUGACAGACAACCCCAUAGGUUUUAAAUGUAAAUUGUCUUGAGACAUAUACAUAUUAUAAUAAAAAUAAAGUUUAUACAGUUGUAA